ACACUCAUUGUAAGAACAUUCAACCAGCGCAAUGACGGUCAAGCAGCUGUUAUUGACAGCUACGCUAUGACCGCCAUCUGGAAACACACAUUUGGAAGAAUCCGGGUUGAUCCAAUGGCACACACAGUCAUCGUGGGAAUUGUGAACGAGAACCAUCACUGGAUGUUGGUGGUAAUGUACCCCCAUGAGAAGAAAACCCUCUUCUU